CUGUCAGGCUGUAGAAAUCUUUCCCAACUGCAUUGACAGAGAAGGCAGCGUUGAUGAAGUCAUAUCUCCUGACACCAGUGUCUCCGUCUUCAGCUGGCAAGUGAACACACGCGGCCAGGGAAAACCAUCUACUUAUUUGGGUGUAUUUGACUUUGACUGCUGGUAUGAGGCUCAAAAGCCAGGCUCACUAAGGCCAGAAGAAUCCCUUCAGGACUGCCCCUAUUUUGCACUGUGGUCACUGGACGCUGUGACAAGCACGACUGCUCCAAACCUCCUUCUGGAUGUUGUGGUGCAGGAGCGCAGCCUAAGCUGGAGAGUUCCUCCUUCUUACCCACAACCUGAGCUGUGUUUUCAUCCAAGCACCUAUA